AAACCUCCCAGGUACUAGGAAGCAGCUGAUUCGACUGAAGCUCUGCAAUCUUCUCCGCAGAGUUACAAAUGUAAACUUUAUAUUCAUGUUAUUUAAUUUUGGAUGUAUAAAUUAUUCCGUUAUCAGAUUAUUUUUAGACUCCGCAGUUAUAGGGUUGUGUAUUAAUAUUGGACUUAUUGUUAGCACUACACUAUAAAUUAAAUGUUAGGUAAUUAGCUGCAGGUGAACUAGUAAGCCCAUAAUGUGAUUAUAAUUUAUUGUGAAUAGGCCCCAGGUUAUAUAUUAUGUGUUAAUCGAGAUUGGGCCAUAUGUUUGUAUAGAGGCUUACUGUUUUGAUGAAAUUGAGACAGAUUGAAUAAUUUAGGCUUACUACGGGCCUCGGGGGCCUUAAGCUUACCUGGGCCCUAGUGCCGGUCCGGCCCACGGAAACGGGUCGUGACA
rnacentral:lncRNA from 1 species